rnacentral:rRNA from 1 species
CUACGUGCCAGCAGCCGCGGUAAUACGGAAGGUUCGGGCGUUAUCCGGAUUUAUUGGGUUUAAAGGGAGCGUAGGCCGGAGAUUAAGUGUGUUGUGAAAUGUAGACGCUCAACGUCUGACUUGCAGCGCAUACUGGUUUCCUUGAGUACGCACAACGUUGGCGGAAUUCGUCGUGUAGCGGUGAAAUGCUUAGAUAUGACGAAGAACUCCGAUUGCGAAGGCAGCUGACGGGAGCGCAACUGACGCUGAAGCUCGAAGGUGCGGGUAUCAAACAGGAUUAGAUACCCUGGUAGUCCGCACAGUAAACGAUGGAUGCCCGCUGUUGGUACCUGGUAUCAGCGGCUAAGCGAAAGCAUUAAGCAUCCCACCUGGGGAGUACGCCGGCAACGGUGAAACUCAAAGGAAUUGACGGGGGCCCGCACAAGCGGAGGAACAUGUGGUUUAAUUCGAUGAUACGCGAGGAACCUUACCCGGGCU